UUUUCCGUUAUCAGCUGCAAGUUGUUUAUGAUUAUGUCGCUUACAAUUUUUCCAUUUUUUUGAUAGAAAAAGUGAUUUUUCUGUACACUGUUUGAGUGUAUUCUGUUCCUUAAGGCCUGAAUAAUCUUCUGAAAAUGAGCCUCAAUAAUAACACACUGGCAUAUAAAGACCACUUAAUAGAAGAAUCUUUGGGUUACCCCUUAUAUAAUCCUGAUAUUUGGUCAUCGUUCUAUUUUACGAGUUGGUCUUUCAUGACUAGAUUAAAAAUUUUCUACAACAAAUCUAUGAAUGAAUGCAGUUCCAGGGUAGUACAUUUAUCCUUUUGUUGAAUAUUACCAAGAAUA